UACGUAGGUGGCAAGCGUUGUCCGGAUUUAUUGGGCUUAAAGGGUGCGUAGGCGGCUCUGUAAGUCAGUGGUGAAAUCUCCCGGCUUAACCGGGAGGGUGGCAUUGAUACUGUGGGGCUAGAGUACAGAUGAGGUAGGCGGAAUUGACGGUGUAGCGGUGAAAUGCUUAGAUAUCGUCAAGAACACCUAUAGCGAAGGCAGCUUACUAGGCUGUAACUGGCGCUGAGGCACGAAAGUGUGGGGAUCAAACAGG
rnacentral:rRNA from 1 species